GGCCUUAGAAAUUAGUUCAGCAAUGAAAUGGUUAAUAGGAUGAGUAAAGGCUAUUUUUAAGUCUGGCUCCCCUUUCUGAUACACUCUUGAAAAUUCACCCUGUACUGCAGAAAUCCUAAAUUGCAGUGCCCUGCACCCCACUGAAACUCUUCAGUCUGCUCACUGUGGAAGCUGUUUCUGUCGAAGAGGUCAGAAAUAGAAGAUAAAACCCUUGACGGUGCAUCUGCUGAUCAAGCACAAAGCAGUCAGGAAGUAGGGGUGAGGGUGUAGGUAUUUCCCUGCCAUCCUUACGAAGUCCCCCUCAAGCUACAUUGGAUGUUCACAUAGGAAAUGAUCAACACUCUUCAGUGUGCACAGGCCUACAGAAGACUUUCAGAGGUACUAGGGAAGCAGAGUGAAUGAGGUCCCUGUCUUUAUGGAGCUUACUUUCUAGCAGAAGGAUUUCCCUGGUAGCUCAGAUGGUAAAGAAUCUGCCCACAAAGCAGAAGACCUGAGUUCAAUCUGUCCUCAAUGCAGAAGACCGAGUUCAGUCCCUGAGUUGGAAAGAUCCUCUGGAGAAGGGAAUUGCUACUCCAGUAUUCUUGCCUGGAGAAUUCCAUGGACAGAGGAACUUGGCAGGCUUCACAAAGAGUUGGACAUGACUGUGUGACUAACACUUUCACACUUUUCCAGCAGAAGAAAUAGACAAUUAAAUAAACACGCAAUAUAAUUU
ensembl:lncRNA